rnacentral:rRNA from 1 species
GACGAACGCUGGCGGCGUGCUUAACACAUGCAAGUCGAACGGAAAGGCCCUGCUUUUGUGGGGUGCUCGAGUGGCGAACGGGUGAGUAACACGUGAGUAACCUGCCCUUGACUUUGGGAUAACUUCAGGAAACUGGGGCUAAUACCGGAUAGGAGCUCCUGCUGCAUGGUGGGGGUUGGAAAGUUUCGGCGGUUGGGGAUGGACUCGCGGCUUAUCAGCUUGUUGGUGGGGUAGUGGCUUACCAAGGCUUUGACGGGUAGCCGGCCUGAGAGGGUGACCGGCCACAUUGGGCCUGCGAUACGGCCCAGACUCCUACGGGAGGCAGCGGUGGGGAAUAUUGCACAAUGGGCGGAAGCCUGAUGCAACAACGCCGCGUGCGGGAUGACGGCCUUCGGGUUGUAAACCGCUUUCGCCUGUGACGAAGCGUGAGUGACGGUAAUGGGUAAAGAAGCACCGGCUAACUACGUG